rnacentral:lncRNA from 1 species
AGAUACUCAUGCUUCUCAAACAUCAAUAUGGAUAAAACAAGGACUGUCAAGAAGACUGCAACUGUAUAUGUACAACUUAAUGGGGAUGGGAGUUGGUCUUCACAUAUAGGAAUGUUGAUAAUAUUAAUGAGAUUAUUAAGAAAAACACAAAGUCAACAACUAUCCUAGAUUCCAUAAUAUUAGGAAGCUGGCUCAACUAUACUUAAUAUUCUGGUAAUACUCAAGAAAGUGACAUGGCAAUUCAACAAUGCAUAUACAACAGAAAGAGAUAUUUCCAUACCAAGACAAUUCUUACUGAAUUAGUAUUUAGCUGAUAUUUCAUUUUUUACAGUAUUUAAAGUUAUAUACAGUGCUGUUUUAAGUUAAAAUAUAACAAAGUUACUUGGUUCAAAAACUGGUCUUUGUUUUUCCUUCUCUGUACUAUGCAAGGGUAGAGAAAAGAGGUGGUAAUAUGCAUCCUCACAUGCGGCUGUAGGAACUCUCACUCAUAUGGAAAACGAAUUGGAUCAUUCCAGAAAAGAUCCAUACUCCCCCCACGGAGGAAAUUUCUGCCGUCCGGAGGGGGAGGGGAGAAAAAAU